rnacentral:rRNA from 1 species
ACAGCAGCCGCCACGGUAAUACGGAGGGUGCAAGCGUUAAUCGGAAUUACUGGGCGUAAAGCGCACGCAGGCGGUCUGUCAAGUCAGAUGUGAAAUCCCCGGGCUUAACCUGGGAACUGCAUUUGAAACUGGCAGGCUAGAGUCUUGUAGAGGGGGGUAGAAUUCCAGGUGUAGCGGUGAAAUGCGUAGAGAUCUGGAGGAAUACCGAUGGCGAAGGCAGCCAUCUGGCCUAAUACUGACGCUGAGGUACGAAAGCAUGGGGAGCAAACAGGAUUAGAUACCCCAGUAGUCCCUGUCUCUUAUAC